rnacentral:lncRNA from 1 species
AGGGGAGGCGGCCUGCGGGGGGAACCUGGCCUUCUGUCCUGGGGACACACCGUCCUUCACCUCUAGGAGCAGACAGACAUGGCCUAGGGCUGCUGAAACAGGACCCAGCUUUUCUUCUGCCCCGCGCUGGGGCAGACGCAGACCCUGCAGGAGAGUCUUGCCUUCUCUCCCUUUUCAGGUCCCUAAAAGAAUUCUCUGAAGGCUUUCAGGUCCCUAAAAUAAUUCUCUGAAGGCUGGACUUAGUGGGGAUCCUGCCUUCAUCUCCCCCAGUUUAUCCCACCUACUUUGCUGCUAGUGAAGAUCUUUGAAGGAGAAAAAGAAAAAAAAAAAAAACCAAAAACUUUGCACAUUGUGAAAAAAGAUAUGAAAUGGAAGGGAAAAGAAGGGAGUUGCAGACAUUCAGACAGAGGGUCCUGGCUCUGAACCUCACAGACCUCUGAGUGGAAAAGGAGAGAAAGGAGCAGCUGUGGUGUCUGUGGAGGAAAGUAGGAGAAUAUGGCCUUCAUGGAGUAGUCCAGAGAGCUCCCGCUGCCUGUGCCUGGCAGGCUGGACACACACAUCUUGCAUCCUGGUUGUGCCCUGGGUCUGCAGCGUGGUGCCCUUCCGUGCAGAUUUGAUGGACUUCUCUGCCUCUCCUUGGAAACAUGUAAGCAGAAACUGGGCCAGAGAAACCACCCCUGAAUGAAGAAAAGGAUGUGGCACUAGCUGGCAAAUUUGGACAUGUCAUUCAGAACGUGGUACGGAGGUCCUGAUGAAAUUGGAAAAGCAUUCAGAGAUAAAAAUCAUUCUGGGAUGAAUCCAGACACUUCCUGCCCAUCUCCAGAUGUCACAGAGCUGGAAGCCAC